rnacentral:lncRNA from 1 species
AGAAGGAAAUUUUGACCGGAAUCAGUGGUUCUGUUGAUCCAGGAGAAGUUUUGGCCAUGAUGGGGCCGUCUGGAAGUGGAAAGACAACGCUCCUCAGCCUGCUUGGAGGAAGAAUAAAAGAGCCAACAGGAAGAGGCUCAAUCACCUACAAUGAACAACCAUACUCAAAGCUUCUAAAGAGCAGGUAACCCUCCAUAAUUCACCAAGUGGUAUACACUAGAAAAUCUUGAGAACACAAUACGAAUGCCAUAUUUUUUCAUGAUAAUUCCAAUCUCAUGUUGCUAAAAUCAAAUAACAACGGCUCAUGUAGUUUAACAGAAGCUAAUAAUUUUUAAUAAAAAACAUUAUGCGAUGCUACUGCUGGAAAUUAUCAUGCACCUCAUGUUUAAAUUAGUUGCCAAAGUAAUUUGAAAAAGAUUAGUUGCCAGAGUAGAAGCACAGGAAAGAGUACUCUGACAGAGAUUUUGAUCAUCUCAUCUGUGAUUUAUGAAGCAAAAACAAGAGAUGUACUAACAAAUAUGCACAGGAAACACACUUUAAACAAACUGGCAUCUAAGUUCGAGCUAAAUGAAUUUGAUUGCAUCAUAGAUUAAAGUCAGAUAUCAAGGUAUCGGUCUACGCAAAUACAAACAUAAGCAGAGUUCAAGGAAAAAAACUUGCACAGAAUCUAACAUGGAUGUGAAAACUUUGGCAGGAUAGGAUUUGUGACUCAAGAUGACAUACUAUUUCCUCACUUGACAGUGAGAGAAACACUAACAUAUGCAGCUCGCCUACGACUGCCAAAGACAUUGACAAAGGAGGAGAAAGAAAAAAGAGCCAUAGAUGUGAUAUACGAGUUGGGACUAGAGAGGUAAUCGUUUCUCUACUUGACAAGUUCUCUAAUUUUCAUGACAUGCAGGGAACCAUUAAGCCUGAGAUCAUUACUAAGGCCACUUUCAGUCAUCUAACAAAUGAAUAGAUGGUCAUACUUUAAUAAAGCGAGUAUUUGACAAAAAAUAACCUUAGAUUGACAAACAACAAGAUGCACAAUUUCUUUGGUGAAAGCUAAUGAGGAAUGUGAUGUUUACAGAUGCCAAGAUACCAUGAUUGGUGGUUCCUUUGUUCGUGGAGUUUCAGGGGGAGAAAGAAAGCGUGUUUGUAUCGGAAAUGAGAUCAUAAUUAAUCCAUCCCUACUGUUCCUUGAUGAACCCACAUCGGGGUUGGACUCUACAACAGCUUUAAGGAUGGUUGAGAUAUUACACGAUAUAGCUGAGGUAACGUUUCUCUCAGUUUUAUCCAAGACCAUCAUAGUACUUCUAACUUCAUCAUAGAGGGAGUCUAUGUUAUCCUGUUAAAAGGUAUCCAAGCUAAUCCUUUUGAGGCACUUUGCACCUAAUUUUGUCUCAAUCCUGUGACAGGCUGGAAAGACAGUGAUCACAACAAUCCAUCAACCAUCCAGCAGACUUUUCCACAAGUUUGAUAAGUUGAUUCUUCUUGGCAAAGGGAGCUUACUUUAUUUUGGGAAGGCAUCUGAAGCAAUGGUCUAUUUUUCAGCUAUAGGAUGCUCACCUCUGAUUUCAAUGAAUCCAGCAGAGUUCCUGCUAGACCUUGCAAAUGGAAACCUUAAUGAUGUCUCUGUUCCAUCGGAGUUGGAGGACAAAGUGCAGAUCGGGAACUCAGAUAGAGAGACAGGGAACGGAAAGCCAACACCAAUAGUUGUGCAUGAGGUGAAUAAAAUUUACAUUUAUUACCCAAAAAACUAAUGCACAGCCGAAAGAGAAAAGACCUCAAGCAAUCACUUGGCAUGAAUUUAAUGUUUUUUAUGUUCCCUUCUUUUUUUGUUUGUAUGAAUCCUGCUUUUCAUAUGUCAAUUUCUCAUUUUCCCUGAACAGUAUCUAGUGGAAGCCUACGAGACACAAGUGGCUGAGAGUGAAAAAAAGAAACUUAUGGCCCCCAUGAUGAUUGAUGAAGAGUUGAAGUCUAAAGUCUUUUCUAUAAAGAGAGAGUGGGGAGCAAGCUGGUGUGAACAAUACUCCAUAUUAUUUUGGAGAGGACUUAAAGAACGGCGGUAUGAUUAUUUUAGCUGGUUGAGAAUCACUCAAGUAAUUGCAACUGCACUUAUCUUGGGUAUGCUCUGGUGGCAGUCUGGUGGUGAUAGUCCUAAACAAAUGCGAGAACAGGUAUGAGGCUCUACUCUUGUAUGCACAAGAUGAUCAAAGGAUUUGACAUUAGGUUCCUAAAUGAAAGCUAAUAUCUAAGAUUACAGAGAAUGUAUCAUUCAUCCCAUGUUCAUGGUUUCGAUCAAAAAAUCAUAAGUCUAAAACAAAUAGGAGAGAAUAGGAUUAUUCAAGAACCUCAAUUAGAAACUCUAUUAGCAUAUAUGCCAAGACACAUUUAUGAAUAGAGAAUCUCAUGUUGAAUCAAAAUAGAAGUCCUAAAGAAGCAAACUGAAACAUUUACGAAACUUUUCUAAUAUGCACUAGGAGCAUAAUUGCACCAAUACUGAAAUGUGAAAUUCACUGCAGUCGGGAUUGCUGUUCUUCAUUGCUGUGUUCUGGGGGUUUUUUCCAGUUUUCACAGCAAUCUUCACAUUUCCGCAAGAAAGGGCAAUGCUGAACAAGGAACGAUCUGCUGACAUGUACAGAUUAAGCGCAUAUUUUUUGGCUAGAACCACCAGUGAUAUUCCACUUGAUCUUAUACUGCCAGUGCUCUUCCUUUUAGUGGUAUAUUUCAUGGCAGGAUUGAAACAUGACGCUGAUGCCUUCUUCCUAACUGUGCUUACAACUUUCCUCUGCAUUGUAGCAGCUCAGGUACUCCAUGUUUUUCUUUUUUUCCAUGUAUAAACUGACAGUUUCCCUACCUUGGUAAUUUGAAUAAUCCUUACUUCAUUGUUGGCAGGGAUUAGGACUAGCAAUAGGGGCUACACUAAUGGAUUUAAAGAAGGCAACCACUUUGGCCUCUGUUACUGUAAUGACCUUUAUGUUAGCUGGUGGAUAUUUCGUAAAGGUAAGGAUGCACUAUCCUCUCACAUCGAAAUGAUUUACCUUAGAAGCUGUAGUUCUGAUAUAGGAUUUGAAUUCUGCAGAAAGUACCAGUAUUUAUAUCAUGGUUGCGGUACCUAUCCUAUAACUAUCAAACGUACAAACUCCUUCUAAAGGUUCAAUAUAAGGAGAAAAAUGACUGGGUGGACGGGAUUAAAGUAGGCAGCGGUGUAAAGGAAGUAUGUAUACUACUAGCUAUGGUUUUUGGCUACCGGCUCCUGGCAUACAUAUCUUUGCGAAGAAUGAAGCUUCACUCAGGUGCUUAGAUGAUGCAAAUGAUGGUUCAUUUCAAACUAAACAACUAGUCUAUGCAGCUUCCACUGAUCAUAAAAGGUACCUGAUUCUGAUAUAAGUUGCAGCACAAGGAAAGAAGAUUUGGCUGCAGUGCCUGAUGAAGUUUUAGUUUUUCGUUUUUCUGUUUACCUCUACGCAUAGUUGUAAAUUUUUAAAUCUAUUAGAAACUAGAAACAGAAAUGAACUGUAUGUAGAAUGUUCCCAUAGAUGCUGAGAUGGAGAUCAUAUUCAUGAUUACUCCUUUAAAAAUUUUGGUUCCAUUGUACCUUUCAUGUUUGCAGCAGUUUCCAAAGUAAAAACUGAGACACAAGAGUUCACUUUUAAAAAGUUUCCAACUGUGCAUGUCAAAUCUGAAUUAGUUGCACAUUCAGAAGGCCCCAGAGCUCAGGAACAUUGUAGUAUGGGAAAAAUCAAUGGUGAUGAUUAAAAAAAGAAAUAACUACAGUGGGUAUAAGGAAAAAAACUACUUGGAGAUUUGGUAGGGGUGAGAAAUUAAUAGCCCCUCCCUUCCAACUUAGGACCAGGAAACAUGUAAUAAGCAAGAGCUCAUAUUCUACUGUAUGUUAGCAUUUUGGCUCCAAAAGUUGAGAUAAAGUUUAUGUUUUGGUGGAUUUAAACUUAUUAAGAACAAAAGGGGAUUUGAUAUGAACUUCUCCGUCAUGCCAGUGAUAAAGUUAUUGAUCUUUGAGGGGGAAGGGUUUUGUUUUUUUAGAGUGUAGACACAUCUUUGGUGAAAGCCAUGAAGAACUGUUGAAUAGAUAGUAUGAUACUAUAAUUUAUGCUCAAAACAUAAGCAAAAGAAUUAAUCUUAAGUUAGAAAAGUGAGGGUGCUCACUACCCAUAUUAGAGGUGACAAAUGUGGAAAACCAAAAGCUAACCCUUUUAGAAUAACAAUUGCAUGAUAUGUAUGUUAAGGUUAAGAUUGCGUAUUUAUACCAUCUGUGAGUCAUAUUCAUGAACUGCUUUUAGCAACAGUGAGUUGAGAUGCUUCUGUAAUGAUGUUCUAAUAAGUCAAUACAGGAAAUACUAAAAUAGCGUUAAAGUAUAGGUUCAAAGCCAACAAAUUUAUCUCCUUGUAUAAUCGCAACAAUCACUUAAUUUAAUAACAAUAGCAAUUAAACUCACUACAAAAUAGACAGAAAACAAGGGCCUUCCACUGAAACACUAACACGUUUCAGUUGAAAAACAUCUAAUGAAAAGCAAUUAUAUAUUGAUGGUAGACAUCAAACAGAAGCUUGCUAACCAAAACUGAAUUCUUUCCAUGACCAAAUACCUUAACUAGAUUGUGUUUCGCGGAAAAGAGCUAAAAGUCUCGUGUGGUAAAAUUUGGCACCAACUAAUGCUUUGUUAACAAAGAAUCGCGUGUCAUUUUCUUUUAAUAAGCAUUAAUUACCAUGAAGUUUCUUGAAGAAGCCGGCCACUUGCCUGCCAGGAUAUACUAUGUUUCUUUUUAUCAUGCCAACCAAGUUGCCCACGAAGAACACUGUCCAGUACAUCAGAGGCCUUUUCUCAAACCCUAUGAUAAAAGGAGGAAACUCAAGUCAGACACAUUCCGUAUUUCAGUUACUACAUCUGACAUGAAUACAAACAUUGUAGGUACCUAUUAUGCCACAUAUAUACAUAUAAGAGGCACACUAAUAGGGGCUGAAGACAACUCUGCAUACAUGACCAAUUAGUAUUUAGUCACCAAACAGGCACACAAAGCAAUAUCAUAAACCACUAAUUUGAAAUUUCAAAAACCACAUCUCUGAUAGCGGCAAUGGUAUGAAAAUAGACGGUUCUGUCUACGAAUUUACAUAAAUCAGCAGCAACACGAUAAGCCCUCAUUACUCCUGAAAUUCAAGGGAAAGAAACCAUCUUCAACGCUAUAUAAAUCAGCAGAAAGAAAAAGCAAUUACAUACGGAAAGAAUUAUUUAACAUACAGUGGUAUUGAAUGGCAAACCCUUCGGAUUUCUCUGUGGCAUAUCGUGAAUGGGUCUUUGGCCUUCCCACAUAGAAGAUGGAUGCAAGUCCCGAUGUCAACUCAUUUAGCAAGCAUGAACGUAUCUAAUAAGUGAAAAAAGCAAUUUUUGCUAAUAUUGUAUUGUUAAAUAAGAAUGAAUGAGAAAGUUAUCAAAUGGUAAUUGGAUUGUUUUAGUCGUUAAUAUAUACCGCUUCAUAGAAAUAGUCCUUUUU